GUGUACCCGCGGCAAGACGGAAAGACCCCGUGAACCUUUACUAUAGCUUGACACUGAACAUUGAGCCUUGAUGUGUAGGAUAGGUGGGAGGCUUUGAAGUGUGGACGCCAGUCUGCAUGGAGCCGACCUUGAAAUACCACCCUUUAAUGUUUGAUGUUCUAACGUGGACCCGUGACCCGGGUUGCGGACAGUGUCUGGUGGGUAGUUUGACUGGGGCGGUCUCCUCCUAAAGAGUAACGGAGGAGCACGAAGGUUGGCUAAUCCUGGUCGGACAU
rnacentral:rRNA from 1 species